GAAGCCCUUUUCUAAGUUUGUAUUUAUGAUAUUACACUUAAACGAAUGUAUGCUUUUCUGCCUUUAUUGAUAUUUAAGGAGAUACACACGCUGGCAAUUGUACUUAUUUCUCCAAAAAAACAAGAAACGUGUCACCCCCCCUUCUCCCUUUCCUUCCCAGGGAGAAUGAAAUUGACAAAGCUUUCCGGAGCAGGCUUGAAACCGACCAGAAGCCCUCUUCUAAAAGCUGAUCAUCAAAAGAACCCAGAACUCACAGUGAACUCACCUUCGAGGGAACUGCAGAACAUGAAGAUUCCAUCCUCUAGAUAUUAACAAGUUUGACAAUCGAUAUACAUCAAAUUUGUCAGACCCAAAAGCCAAGGCAGAUACCUCCGGUUUUCCUAAGAUGAAGAUGUUGUCAAUUUUCCGCAACCUUAAAAAGAUGCAAGUUUUAAAA